AGAAGCGGAAACAGGAGCAGCAGCAGCAGCAGCAGCGGCAGGAGAGGCACACAGGAGCCAGAUCCUAAAGGCUUUGUAUGCCACAUUAGGAAAGAAUUUGGAAUACAGCUUCUGUUUGGAAAACAUUUUCUGUAACCAGCCCGACAACUCAGUGGUCAGCGGAAACUUGAUGAUAGCAUAGUGGUCAAGCUUGUUUCUCCUGGGAGCGCUCUUCCGAGGAUAUUUGGGCUGUCUCCAGAGUCGCAGUGUCUUCGGCUGCCGGAAGGUAAGGAACCUGCUGCGCGUGAGAUCCCAUUACCAAGUAAAGGGUCACUGAAAGGCGAUAACAAGAGAAAGGGCUCAUGUCUGACUGCCAGUGUUAGCAUAAAGGAGAGCCAUUUUGCCAAGAACAAUACAGCCUGUGGAACUCACCAGAGAAGUGCCCCAGUAACAACCCGACCUGCAUUAUUUGCAAACCAUGACCUGGAUGUUCCGAAGAUAGCAGCCACACAAAAUUCUCCGCCCAUCGAUUUGCUGGGUGAAAUUUGUGGAGGAGGUUUAACUUUGCUUAAAAAAUAAAAUAAGAGUAAAAAACAAUUAUCAUGAUGAAAUGAUACUCCUUUAGGUAAUGACAGUUUUUCCUUUAAAUUCCACCCCUAUUCAAAUCCUCCAGUAUGAACAUGCAUUUUGCCUUAAGUAAUAAAUGGUGAUGUGAGACUA
rnacentral:lncRNA from 1 species